rnacentral:rRNA from 1 species
UACGAAGGGGGCGAGCGUUGUUCGGAUUUACUGGGCGUAAAGGGCGCGCAGGCGGCCGCAUUUGUCAGGCGUGAAAUCCCCAGGCUUAACCUGGGAACUGCGUGUGAUACUGGAUGGCUUGAAUCCGGGAGAGGGAUGCAGAAUUCCAGGCGUAGCGGUGAAAUGCGUAGAUAUCUGGAGGAAUACCGGUGGCGAAGGCGGCAUCCUGGACCGGCAUUGACGCUGAUGAGCGAAAGCUAGGGGAGCAAACGGG